CGAACGGAGUACUUCGGUACUUAGUGGCGGACGGGUGAGUAACGCGUGAGGAUCUGCCCUCAGGAGGGGGACAACGACUGGAGACGGUCGCUAAUACCCCAUAUGCCGAGAGGUGAAAUGUUUUUUCGCCUGAGGAUGAGCUCGCGUCAGAUUAGCUAGUUGGUGGGGUAACGGCCUACCAAGGCGACGAUCUGUAGCUGGUCUGAGAGGAUGAUCAGCCACACUGGGACUGAGACACGGCCCAGACUCCUACGGGAAGCAGCAGUGGGGAAUUUUCCGCAAUGGGCGAAAGCCUGACGGAGCAAGACCGCGUGAGGGAUGACGGCCUAAUGGUUGUAAACCUCUUUUCUCUGGGAAGAUAAUGACGGUACCAGAGGAAUAAGCCUCGGCUAACUCCGUGCCAGCAGCCGCGGUAAUACGGAGGAGGCAAGCGUUAUCCGGAAUUAUUGGGCGUAAAGCGUCCGUAGGUGGUUAAUCAAGUCAGCUGUUAAAGAGCGGAGCUUAACUCCGUUAGGGCGGUUGAAACUGAUUGACUAGAGUUUGGUAGGGGUCGAGGGAAUUCCCAGUGUAGCGGUGAAAUGCGUAGAUAUUGGGAAGAACACCGGUGGCGAAAGCGCUCGACUGGGCCUGAACUGACACUGAGGGACGAAAGCUAGGGGAGCGAAAGGGAUUAGAUACCCCUGUAGUCCUAGCCGUAAACGAUGGAUACUAGGUGUUGCUCGUUAUCGACCCGAGCCGUGCCGAAGC
rnacentral:rRNA from 1 species